rnacentral:lncRNA from 1 species
CUGUCCCCAGCCACAGACAGCCUGGGGAACUGUUGGAACGAGGGUGCCCACACCAAAUCGCUACCAUCAUACCUUCCGACUGAAACAAUGCUACCUUCCGUCAUCUUACCUUACAUCGGACGUGAUCUCGAGGGGGCUUCCCGCAAUCGACGUAGAUACCUCUGCAGUAGUUUCGGCGCUGAAAGUAAGCAGGCGCUUGGGAAGGGUGUGCGGACUACAGCACUGAUUACAGAGGCACCCACUGCACUAUCGCAAGCGCAAGCAUGUACCAUGGGGCAGUAAAUCGUAAUGUAACGGCUGAAGCAAGCUUAUCCUGGCGUUGGGUGUUUGAAGGCAACGGAGGCAUUUGGUUGCGGCCUAAAAACGUUUGCUGCAACUGUCUCAUCCUCCUACCCUCAGGGCCCAACGCUCUUUGAGCUGCUUUCGUACGGCAAGACCGCGCUAUCGAUAGCAGGUACAGCCUGGCAGGCGGCCGUCGCACCUUUUGCUAUCUUUGGCGUUGACCGCUGGGGUCUCAAUUUUCUUUUCUACUUUGCCGUCUUGCUGAUGACAUUUAAUCUCAUCGUUCAAGCGCCGAAGCAGUAGGAAGCACGCAACCCUGCACACCACAGGCACCGCAACCACGCCCACCCAAGCAGACGACGGGGCAAGACCUGGGUCACGAGAUCUCCCCGUGGACCACUACUAGAAUGUAGUUGGGGCCGCGAAAAGCGGGAGUCAGGCGCCUCGCCUGGACAUUCCUGGACAGUCAGGCGGCAUCCCAGCCAUGAGGCAUCUGAGUCAGAUACAUCCCGGGGCAUACAGCCGAGUUGACCUAUGUUACACGUGGAGGACUGGGCCUUAUGGAAUUCCAACUGGGUCGGGUCGGGCCUACCCCGAACGAAGGUGGCAAAUUUAUGCCCAGCAGGCUUGACUUGCUGCCUUCAUGUAGGCUCGCAAUGACAAGCAGAAGACGAAACACUCCUUUCUGCUACGCUUUGAGUGUGUGCGCUACCAGAUGACAGAUUAGUACGCGGCUUCCAGAGCGCUCUCCUGGAGCUGACGCUACGCGUGGCAG